rnacentral:tRNA from 1 species
CAGGUAGCUCAGUUGGUAGAGCAGCGGACUGAAAAUCCGCGUGUCGGUGGUUCGAAUCCGCCCCUGG